rnacentral:rRNA from 1 species
UUUGGAAGGGAGAAAGUCGUAACAAGGUUUCCGUAGGUGAACCUGCGGAAGGAUCAUUG